UGUCCCAUGUUAGGAGUUAGGGUUGUCCUUAACUUUUCUGUUCGCUUGCUUAACAUGUUGUACCAGUCUAUACCUGUCCAGCUAUUCCAGGGUGUGCCUACAUCAUAAAUUCAGACAGCGCAGAGAGUUUCUUCAGAAGUGGACUUAUCAAGGCAACAGUGUUGUUAAUUUGAAGAACAAUGGCAGAUACAAACCCAGAUAAAAUCCCUCAGUGCGAAAAGAGCAAACCAUGCCACGGUGAAGGCAAGGGUGAAGGCAAGGGUGAAGGCAAGGGAAAAGGACCAGGACAAGGGCAAGGUCAAGGCAAGGGUCAGGGUCAUGGUCACGGACACGGUCACGGACCUGGAAAGGAUGGAAAGGAUGGCAAAGGCAAACCAUAAUGACAAGGAGCUGAAUGAAGAGACGUCUGAAGUCUGUCUGAUGCUGUUUUUUUCUUGCACCAUGACUAAUAAACUAAAACAUGUAUAAUUAUACCACAUAUGUUUGUUUUUAAUUAAAUGAUCAUCAAUAAAGUGUUUGGUAUCAAAGAA